rnacentral:rRNA from 1 species
AUUGAACGCUGGCGGCAUGCCUUACACAUGCAAGUCGAACGGCAGCACGGGAGCAAUCCUGGUGGCGAGUGGCGAACGGGUGAGUAAAGUAUCGGAACGUGCCCAGUCGUGGGGGAUAACGUAGCGAAAGUUACGCUAAUACCGCAUACGAUCUAUGGAUGAAGGCGGGGGAUCGCAAGACCUCGCGCGAUUGGAGCGGCCGAUAUCAGAUUAGGUAGUUGGUGGGGUAAAGGCUCACCAAGCCGACGAUCUGUAGCUGGUCUGAGAGGACGACCAGCCACACUGGGACUGGGACACGGCCCAGACUCCUACGGGAGGCAGCAGUGGGGAAUUUUGGACAAUGGGCGCAAGCCUGAUCCAGCCAUGCCGCGUGCAGGAUGAAGGCCUUCGGGUUGUAAACUGCUUUUGUACGGAACGAAAAGGUUUGGCCUAAUACGCUGAACUCAUGACGGUACCGUAAGAAUAAGCACCGGCUAACUACGUGCCAGCAGCCGCCGCGG